rnacentral:rRNA from 1 species
AGGAUGAACGCUGGCGGUCUGCUUAACACAUGCAAGUCGAACGGAGUACCUCGGUACUUAGUGGCGGACGGGUGAGUAACGCGUGAGAAUCUGCCCUUAGGUCGGGGACAACCAUUGGAAACGAUGGCUAAUACCGGAUAAGCCGAGAGGUAAAAGAUUAAUUGCCUAGGGAAGAGCUCGCGUCUGAUUAGCUAGUUGGUGAGGUAAAGGCUCACCAAGGCAUCGAUCAGUAGCUGGUCUGAGAGGAUGAUCAGCCACACUGGGACUGAGACACGGCCCAGACUCCUACGGGAGGCAGCAGUGGGGAAUUUUCCGCAAUGGGCGAAAGCCUGACGGAGCAAGACCGCGUGAGGGAGGAAGGCUCUUGGGUUGUAAACCUCUUUCUUGGGGAAGAACAAAAUGACGGUACCCAAGGAAUCAGCAUCGGCUAACUCCGUGCCAGCAGCCGC